UUCUUAUCAAGAGAAGCGGAGGGACUGGCCCGAUGAUGCUUCAGCAACCGGCUGCGUAAAGUCAAGGUGCUAAUUCCAGCGGGAUCCAUCCCGAAAGAUGAGAG
rfam:Bacillus sp. FJAT-27231 Scaffold1, whole genome shotgun sequence.